rnacentral:misc_RNA from 1 species
UUUCCGUAGGUGAACCUGCGGAAGGAUCAUUACCGUAUUAAAUAUGAUUGGCCUGCUAUGACUGUCCCUGACCUUAAAGCCGUGCACCCCCGAGUGUGUCCUCUUGCAUGAUAAUCCAUCUCACCCUUUGUACAUCACCGCGUGUUUACCCUUCGUGAUCUUCUCGUAGGAGGGCUCACGAUUUCACACAAACCCCCCUGUUAAAAUUGUAGAUUGACCACAUCUAUGCAAUCAAUACAACGUUCAACAACGGAUCUAUUGGCUUUCGCAUCGGUUAAA